CGGGACGUAGCUCAGCCUGGCUAGAGCGCUAGUUUUGGGUACUAGAGGCCCAGGGUUCGAAUCCCUGCGUCCCGACCA
rnacentral:tRNA from 1 species